UUACUUUGAAUAUGCUUACCGUAGACAGUAGGUGCCGCAAGGCUUAAUUUCCUACCGAGGUGUUAUGAUAGAAACAAAGGAAGCGGCGCGGCCGUGUACUUACCGUUUUAUCAAGCCUUCGUGAAUCUGCGGAGGCUUUUCUAAUGCCUGC
rfam:Paenibacillus sabinae T27, complete genome.